UACGGAGGGUGCGAGCGUUAAUCGGAAUUACUGGGAGUAAAGCGUACGUAGGCGGUUGGGUAAGUCGGAUGUGAAAGGCCUGGGCUUAACCUGGGAACUGCAUUCGAUACUGCCCGGCUAGAGUAUGGGAGAGGGAAGCGGAAUUUCCGGUGUAGCGGUGAAAUGCGUAGAUAUCGGAAGGAACACCAAUGGCGAAGGCAGCUUCCUGGCCCAAUACUGACGCUCAGGUGCGAAAGCGUGGGGAUCAAACAGG
rnacentral:rRNA from 1 species